CUCUCGUUUUUGUUUUUUAUCAUUUUUUUUAUUUUUUGGUGCCGGUGUUCAGUCAUGGCACUGAGGCCGCCGGGCUAAUCUCAUACGCUCCUCCCGGCUGUCUCUACCUGCAGGCUGAAUCUCGUUUUUUUUUUUUUUUCCCCGUAUGAGCCUGUGCGCACCACGUGACCACGCAGUUGACAGAAAGAUGCAAAGUAGAAAGAGCAAGGGUGGCGCGGAGAAGGCAAUAAUUAAAAAGAGGAAAGCGCUGGAAACAGAUGCAGCUAAAUGUGCAAAAAUGAGCACCUUUUUUCUCAAACAAGCUUGCGGUCUUUAACUUCAAAUGAAGAUAAAACGGCCCACAAGAUCCAGUAGGCCUAAUAAGCACCAGGCAGAAACCCACCAUUCCAGAGUGGACAUGUACAGUGUCAGAAGAAGAGCCAGGAGCCAGCAGUGAGGGUAUUGCUCCUGUUGGGAUAGAAGGUGAGCCAACUCAUGUGCAAACAUCAGUUUCAUUAUAAUAAUUGUAAUGUCCAAAUAAUAGUAGUGACCUGUUGUAUUUUUAUUAGUAAAUGCACAAAGCCCACAACAAAUCGCUAUUAGAAUGAAAGUAAAAUGAAAUAAGCCUGCAUAUUUUGCCAUAGAAAAUAUUUUAAUUGGUUACAAAAAAUGUGUUUUCCAUAUCAAAUGUGCUAAAGCUUUACAGAUGAUUAUUUUAAUUGUGUGCAGGUGAGUCUAGGGAAACUGGAAAAAGUGUGAAAGGGAGUGCUGAGUCAUUUCAUUUUAAAGGUUUGAAAAUCUCAGAACAGCUGUUUGAACAGCAUGUAGAUUGUUAUAUUGUUAGAGAAUGUGUUGUAAAGAACAAUGUUGGAGAUGUGCACUGAUGUUCAAAUAAACCUACAUUGUAAAGCAACUCUUUCUUGCACUGAAUUACAAGGCUUUACCGAGUAGUGUGCUUUUGUAGACUAUACAUAUAAAGUUCUAACAUGAUUUUAAUAAUAAUUCGUUAAGUGGGCCGGUCUGGGGUCUGAAACUCCAGGGCUGAAAAUGUGUCCCACUCCGG